rnacentral:rRNA from 1 species
ACAGCAGUCGCCGCGGUAAUACGUAGGGUGCAAGCGUUAAUCGGAAUUACUGGGCGUAAAGCGUGCGCAGGCGGUUAUAUAAGACAGAUGUGAAAUCCCCGGGCUCAACCUGGGAACUGCAUUUGUGACUGUAUAGCUAGAGUACGGCAGAGGGGGAUGGAAUUCCGCGUGUAGCAGUGAAAUGCGUAGAUAUGCGGAGGAACACCGAUGGCGAAGGCAAUCCCCUGGGCCUGUACUGACGCUCAUGCACGAAAGCGUGGGGAGCAAACAGGAUUAGAUACCCGUGUAGUCCCUGUCUCUUAUAC